UUUCGACUAUCUCACCCUUUCUCUCUCUCUCUCUCUCUUUAUUGGUGCAAAUCUGGUUUUCGGGAUUGGACCACUCUGUUCUGGGUCACGUCUGCGGCGGUGCCUGUUUAAUCGGCGUCCUCUCCCAUGGCUGAGAAUCAGCAGUCAGGAAUGUGAUCUGAGUGGGCACAAUGACGCUUAUCCUCCCCAACAAAGUUUUUUUUAUUCUUCUCCUCCUCACAAGAUUUCCUUAAUCGGAUAAUUCCUGUCUUAUUGAACAAGGAGUGUAGAUCAUGGGCCGAGCUCUGGGAGAAAAACACUGGAGUACAACUGAGGUCAUUUAUGACGAAGGAGUGUUGGACUGCUCUCACAGCUUUACAGUUCUGAAUGGAGGGAGAGGUUUAUUCAUUUGGACCCCAAAAUCUUGGCGUGCUGCAGGAUAGUCCAUGUGUCUGCAGAGCUUUCCUCUCUCGCUGCGGCUCUAAUGAGACAGAGGAGGAAGUCCAAGCAGGAGGAUUGCACUUGGCAGUGUUAACUGGAAACACUCUCAUGAAUGGGUCAGAGGAUCUGUGUUGAUCCUUUCUUCAUUCACAACAGAACAAUCUGUCCAGUACAGACAUCAAAGAAUCCAGCACAGUAAAUAAAGACUGGAAGAUC